GAUGAACGCUGGCGGCGUGCCUAAUACAUGCAAGUCGAACGCGCAGCGAAAGGUGCUUGCACCUUUCAAGCGAGUGGCGAACGGGUGUGUAACACGUGGAUAACCUGCCUCAAGGCUGGGGAUAACAUUUGGAAACAGAUGCUAAUACCGAAUAAAACUUAGUAUCGCAUGAUACAAAGUUGAAAGGCGCUACGGCGUCACCUAGAGAUGGGUCCGCGGUGCAUUAGUUAGUUGGUGGGGUAAAGGCCUACCAAGACAAUGAUGCAUAGCCGAGUUGAGAGACUGAUCGGCCACAUUGGGACUGAGACACGGCCCAAACUCCUACGGGAGGCUGCAGUAGGGAAUCUUCCACAAUGGGCGAAAGCCUGAUGGAGCAACGCCGCGUGUGUGAUGAAGGCUUUCGGGUCGUAAAGCACUGUUGUAUGGGAAGAACAGCUAGAGUAGGGAAUGACUUUAGUUUGACGGUACCAUACCAGAAAGGGACGGCUAAAUAC
rnacentral:rRNA from 1 species